rnacentral:rRNA from 1 species
CCUACGGGUGGCAGCAGUGAGGAAUAUUGGUCAAUGGGCGCAAGCCUGAACCAGCCAAGUCGCGUGAGGGAUGACGGUCCUAUGGAUUGUAAACCUCUUUUGUCGGGGAGCAAGGCCCGCCACGUGUGGCGGGAAGGAGAGUACCCGAAGAAAAAGCAUCGGCUAACUCCGUGCCAGCAGCCGCGGUAAUACGGAGGAUGCGAGCGUUAUCCGGAUUUAUUGGGUCUAAAGGGUGCGUAGGCGGGAUGCCAAGUCAGCGGUAAAAAUGCGGUGCUCAACGCCGUCGAGCCGUUGAAACUGGCGUUCUUGAGUGGGCGAGAAGUAUGCGGAAUGCGUGGUGUAGCGGUGAAAUGCAUAGAUAUCACGCAGAACUCCGAUUGCGAAGGCAGCAUACCGGCGCCCUACUGACGCUGAGGCACGAAAGCGUGGGUAUCGAACAGGAUUAGAUACCCUUGUAGUC